CCUACGGGGGGCUGCAGUGAGGAAUAUUGCGCAAUGGGGGAAACCCUGACGCAGCGACGCCGCGUGAGUGAUGAAGGCCUUCGGGUUGUAAAGCUCUGUCAGAGGGAAAGAAAGGGGUGUUGGAAUAAUACCCAACACCAUUGACGGUACCCUCGGAGGAAGCACCGGCUAACUCCGUGCCAGCAGCCGCGGUAAUACGGCGGGUGCACGUGGUAUUCGGAGUCAGUAGGCGGAUAGAGAAGGUAGGCGGGAAAUCCCGGAGCUUAACUUCGGAACUGCAUUUGAUACUGCUCGUCUUGAGUAUGGUAGAGGGGGAUGGAAUUCCCGGUGUAGAGGUGAAAUUCGUAGAUAUCGGGAGGAACACCAGAGGCGAAGGCGAUCCCCUGGGCCAUUACUGACGCUGAGGUGCGAAAGCGUGGGGAGCAAACAGGAUUAGAUACCCCAGUAGUC
rnacentral:rRNA from 1 species